GUUAGCCUUCACUUCAUCUUCCCCGACACCCCGCUGUGUAACAGACCACCCCAAAACCGGUCCGCUUUGAACAUUUCAUGACUUUGUGGAUCAGGAAUUUGGGCAGGAUUCACCUUGAUGGUUUUUCUGUUCCCUGUGCCCGGAACUGAAGUCAUUCGGUGCGUUCAGCUGGUGCAGGGCAACUCAGAGGUCCUGGAGACUGUUCCGGGAGACGAGAGGUGGAAGCUUCUAGGCCUGCAGUUUCUUCUCUGAAAAUAAAAGCGUGUCGUCGAGGCUAUGGUCUCAGACUGCGUCCAGCCCCGAGGGCCCCACACUAGAUGAACAGCUGAGGAAAACAGGAGAAAGAAGAAAAGAUGCUGGCCAGAGGCUGCGCCCUCUUUCAGCAAGAAAACCAGAUCCCACUUCAGUGUGCUCGCCUCUCUCCCUGUCCUUUAUUAUAGGUCCUUACAGCGCAUGCGCAGCUCAUCGUUUGAGGGCUUCUCGAAAACACAUCCUACGGUUCUAUCCCUCGGGACUCCUGGCACAUUGCCAGGCAUACUGAUGGGCAUCCAGCAAAUUCUUCGUAAAGCCGUAUGGCUGGCUGGAAGAGAGUUGAGAGAGAAGCUCAGUUAUUUUUCUGGUGAAAGAGGUACAAAAAGGAAGGGAACUGGAGGGAGUAUAGCCUUCUGUACAUUUGGGUAGAAAAGCGGGUACUGACAGCAUUUCCGAGCAUCAAAGCUCAGCCUGUCUUCUGUGCUCCAAAAGCCUCUGUUCAAAGGGACCACAAGGGCAGCCCAAGGUUUCUGUGUUCACUCAACCUCCCUCCUGAAUCUUGCAAUCUGGCAUCGUUCAGUGGGUUCACGACCACCCACAGCCACUCAGGGAAACCAUAUCCUCUUCCUUGAAACUUUCAUAUGGCCUUUCUCCUGCUAGGUCAGUGCCCAACGAAAGUUGAAUUUCCAGUUUGGAAGUGAACACAUGGCCAUGUGAUUUCAUACAUUCUUCCCAGCAGAACUGGAAAAGUCUUUCUUCGGAAAUACAUAACUGUGCUGGGAGCCACAAUCUUGGUUUAUCAGCAGAGAAUAGCAGGGAUUAAAAAAAA